UACGUAGGUGACCAGCGUUGUCCGGAUUUACUGGGCGUAAAGAGCGCGCAGGCGGUCGUUCAAGUCGAGUGUGAAAGCCCCCGGCUCAACUGGGGAGGGUCAUUCGAUACUGAUCGACUGGAAGGCAGGAGAGGGAAGCGGAAUUCCCGGUGUAGUGGUGAAAUGCGUAGAUAUCGGGAGGAACACCAGUGGCGAAGGCGGUUACCUGGAGCUUUGCUGACGCUGAUGCGCGAAAGCGUGGGGAGCGAUCCGG
rnacentral:rRNA from 1 species